rnacentral:rRNA from 1 species
UACGUAGGGGGCAAGCGUUGUCCGGAAUCAUUGGGCGUAAAGAGCGUGUAGGCGGCCCGAUAAGUCCGCCGUGAAAGUCCAGGGCUCAACCCUGGAAUGCCGGUGGAAACUGUCGGGCUCGAGUCCGGAAGAGGCGAGUGGAAUUCCCGGUGUAGCGGUGAAAUACGCAGAUAUCGGGAGGAACACCAAUGGCGAAGGCAGCUCGCUGGGACGUGACUGACGCUGAGACGCGAAAGCGUGGGGAGCAAACAGG